GACGAACCGUGCGAACGUUCUUCGGAAUCACUGGGCUUAAAGCGCGUGUAGGCGGCCCUGCAAGUCGGGUGUGAAAUCCCACGGCUCAACCGUGGAAGUGCACUCGAAACUGCAGGGCUAGAGUCCUGGAGAGGAAGGUGGAAUGCUUGGUGUAGAGGUGAAAUUCGUAGAUAUCAAGCGGAACACCGGUGGCGAAGGCGGCCUUCUGGACAGUGACUGACGCUGAGACGCGAAAGCGUGGGGAGCAAACAGG
rnacentral:rRNA from 1 species